rnacentral:rRNA from 1 species
UACGUAGGGGGCAAGCGUUGUCCGGAAUUAUUGGGCGUAAAGCGCGUGUAGGCGGCCAGAUAGGUCCGUUGUGAAAACUCGAGGCUCAACCUCGAGACGCCGAUGGAAACCAUUUGGCUAGAGUCCGGAAGAGGAGAGUGGAAUUCCUGGUGUAGCGGUGAAAUGCGCAGAUAUCAGGAAGAACACCCGUGGCUAAGGCGGCUCUCUAGUACGGUACUGACGCUGAGACGCGAAAGCGUGGGGAGCGAACAGG